rnacentral:rRNA from 1 species
UGCCAGCAGCCGCGGUAAUACGGAGGGUGCAAGCGUUGUUCGGAAUUAUUGGGCGUAAAGCGCGUGUAGGCGGUUCGUUAAGUCUGAUGUGAAAGCCCCGGGCUUAACCUGGGAAUUGCAUUCGAUACUGGUAGACUUGAAUUUGGUAGAGGAAAGUGGAAUUCCGGGUGUAGGGGUGAAAUCCGUAGAUAUUCGGAGGAACACCAGUGGCGAAGGCGGCUUUCUGGACCGAUACUGACGCUGAGACGCGAAAGCGUGGGGAGCAAACAGGAUUAGAUA